AGAGGAGUAGUUUAAAAGAACGGAAUGCUGUAAACAUUAAAGAGGAAACUUUCCCUCCUCUA
rnacentral:tRNA from 1 species